ACUUGGCCUGUGGGAGAGGUUUGCACAUCAACAAGGGAGCCAUAGACUAAUUAUAGCAUUUUGGGAGCAUUUGGCUUACUCGAAUUUCAUUCAUGGACGGAGCGUACAACAUUGCACUGGACUCCUGAAUGGGCAAAAACAUUUUGAUUUCACUUGAUGGAAUAAAAAUGAAAAAUGUCACUGGUUGUGGCGAAGCGUGAUAAGCAUAACAAUUUGUAUACCUUUUGCUCACCUCAAUGGAGGGCGUCAGGCUGCUCAGGCACUUUUGCAGGGUUUCCGAGUGAUCCGGGGACAACGCGCAUGAAGUCGAAACGAGGAGGCUGCGGAAGGAACAGUGAAGACCAUCGAAGCGAAGCGAUGCUACACUGCUGUCGUCGUACCUCAGCACAAACACACAAAGCCACACCUGAGUUGUGUGUCUGUCCCUGCACAGGUGAGGGCAGAGCGACAGCCGGAUGCCUGCCUGGAAACAACACGGACGGAUUGAUGACACUCGCCUUUUCAUCGGCACAAUCAAAGUGAUUUAUUUAACCGUGGUUAUGAUUGCGUGUGGCGGCCGUGACCUUUUGUUAACUGCCAUUCGGUUGCAUCAGAGGGAACAAAUGUUUUAAAAAAGAAAUGAUAGUCAUGCAAUCCAAGCAAAAUAAUAUGUAUUCCCAAUUGAAAUCGAUGGAAAGGCAAAUAGGUCAAGCCUCCUCCCUUCAAAAAUCUCAUUUAAAAUGAUGUAACUUUUUCAGAUUGUACUCUAUAAAAACAAUGUAAUGUCACAAUUAUAUAGAAUAUAAAAAAUAGUUUAUGAAACAUGAAUUCAAUGCUGCAAUCAAAUUCAUUGUGGUGCUUCUUCUAGUCUUGGCCACCAGGAGGCAGUGCAGCGCCGGACAGUCCUUAAGAUAAAGUUAGACUUCCUCUUCUGACUGCAAGUGACUCUAAAAUACUGAAAUGAUUGUCAUUUUUUCACAAAAUGAAGAAAA